AACGAACGCUGGCGGCAGGCCUAACACAUGCAAGUCGAGCGCGCCCUUCGGGGCGAGCGGCGGACGGGUGCGUAACGCGUGGGAACGUGCCCUUUUCUACGGAAUAGCCCCGGGAAACUGAGAGUAAUACCGGAUAAUCUCUUUGGGGGAAAGAUUUAUCGCAAAAGGAUCGGCCCGCGUUGGAUUAGGUAGUUGGUGGGGUAAUGGCCUACCAAGCCGACGAUCCAUAGCUGGUUUGAGAGGAUGAUCAGCCACACUGGGACUGAGACACGGCCCAGACUCCUACGGGAGGCAGCAGUGGGGAAUCUUAGACAAUGGGGGCAAGCCUGAUCCAGCCAUGCCGCGUGAGUGAUGAAGGCCUUAGGGUUGUAAAGCUCUUUCAGCUGGGAAGAUAAUGACGGUACCAGCAGAAGAAGCCCCGGCUAACUCCGUG
rnacentral:rRNA from 1 species